GCACUACUUAGGAGUCCCAUAAUAGGACGAAACGGCCGUCCAGUGC
rfam:Schistosoma rodhaini strain Burundi genome assembly, scaffold: SROB_scaffold0001001